rnacentral:rRNA from 1 species
GGAUUAGAUACCCUGGUAGUCCAUGCCGUAAACGAUGAGUACUAGGCGUGGGAGGUUUUGACCCCUUCCGUGCCGACGCUAACGCAUUAAGUACUCCGCCUGGGAAGUACGGUCGCAAGAUUAAAACUCAAAGGAAUUGACGGGGGCCCGCACAAGCGGUGGAGCAUGUGGUUCAAUUCGAAGCAACGCGAAGAACCUUACCUGGGCUUGACAUCCCUUGAUCGCUACAGAGAUGUAGCUUCGUAGCAAUACGCAAGGAGACAGGUGCUGCAUGGCUGUCGUCAGCUCGUGCCG